UACAGAGGGGGCAAGCGUUAUUCGGAAUUAUUGGGCGUAAAGGGCGCGUAGGCGGCUUGGCAAGUGGAUGGUGAAAUCCCUCGGCUUGACCGAGGAACUGCCGUCCAAACUGCUUCGCUUGAGACCGGGAGAGGUGAGUGGAAUUCCCAGUGUAGCGGUGAAAUGCGUAGAUAUUGGGAGGAACACCAGUGGCGAAGGCGGCUCACUGGACCGGUACUGACGCUGAUGCGCGAAAGCGUGGGGAGCAAACGGG
rnacentral:rRNA from 1 species